rnacentral:rRNA from 1 species
CAGCAGCCGCGGUAAGACAGAGGAUGCAAGCGUCAUCCGGAAUGAUUGGGCGUAAAGCGUCUGUAGGUGGCUUUUCAAGUCCGCCGUCAAAUCCCAGGGCUCAACCCUGGACAGGCGGUGGAAACUACCAAGCUGGAGUACGGUAGGGGCAGAGGGAAUUUCCAGUGGAGCGGUGAAAUGCGUUGAGAUCGAAAAGAACACCAACAGCGAAAGCACUCUGCUGGGACGACACUGACACUAAGAGACGAAAGCUAGGGGAGCAAAUGGGAUUAGAUACCCCAGUAGUCCCUGUCUCUUAUAC